UACGUAGGGGGCAAGCGUUGUCCGGAUUUAUUGGGCGUAAAGAGCUCGUAGGCGGCUCGGUAAGUCGGAUGUGAAACCUCCAGGCUCAACCUGGAGACGCCAUCUGAUACUGCCGUGGCUUGAGUCCGGUAGAGGAGCAGGGAAUUCCAGGUGUAGCGGUGAAAUGCGCAGAUAUCAGGAGGAACACCGGUGGCGAAGGCGCCACUCUGGGCCGGUACUGACGCUGAGGAGCGAAAGCGUGGGUAGCAAACAGG
rnacentral:rRNA from 1 species